UACGUAGGGGGCAAGCGUUGUCCGGAUUUAUUGGGCGUAAAGAGCGUGUAGGCGGUUUGGUAGGUCCGCUGUGAAAACUCGAGCUCAACCUCGAGACGCCGGUGGAAACCAUCAGACUAGAGUCCGGAAGAGGAGAGUGGAAUUCCUGGUGUAGCGGUGAAAUGACGUAGAGAUCAGCAGGAACACCCGUGGCGAAGGCGGCCCCCUGGGCCGUACCUGACGCUGAGGCGCGAAGGCUAGGGGAGCGAACGGGGAUUAAGAA
rnacentral:rRNA from 1 species